GACGAACGCUGGCGGCGUGCUUAACACAUGCAAGUCGAACGGAAAGGCCCUGCUUUUGUGGUGUGCUCGAGUGGCGAACGGGUGAGUAACACGUGAGUAACCUGCCCUUGACUUUGGGAUAACUUCAGGAAACUGGGGCUAAUACCGGAUAGGAGCUCCUGCUGCAUGGUGGGGGUUGGAAAGUUUCGGCGGUUGGGGAUGGACUCGCGGCUUAUCAGCUUGUUGGUGGGGUAGUGGCUUACCAAGUCUUUGACGGGUAGCCGGCCUGAGAGGGUGACCGGCGACAUUGGGACUGAGAUACGGACCAGACUCCAACGGGAGGCAGCAGUGGGGAAUAUGGCACAAUGGGCGGAAGCCUGAUGCAGAGACGCCGGGUGCGGGAUGACGGCCUUCGGGGUGUGAACCGCUUUAGCCUGUGACGAAGCGGGAGUGACGGUAAUGGGUAAAGAAGCACCGGCUAACUACGUG
rnacentral:rRNA from 1 species